GACGAACGCUGGCGGCGUGCUUAACACAUGCAAGUCGAACGGUGAAGCCUUCGGGUGGAUCAGUGGCGAACGGGUGAGUAACACGUGAGCAAUCUGCCCUUGACUCUGGGAUAACUUCGGGAAACCGGAGCUAAUACCGGAUAUGACAUCUGGCCGCAUGGUCUGGGUGUGGAAAGAUUUAUCGGUCAAGGAUGAGCUCGCGGCCUAUCAGCUUGUUGGGGGGUAAUGGCCCACCAAGGCGACGACGGGUAGCCGGCCUGAGAGGGCGACCGGCCACACUGGGACUGAGACACGGCCCAGACUCCUACGGGAGGCAGCAGUGGGGAAUAUUGCGCAAUGGGCGGAAGCCUGACGCAGCGACGCCGCGUGAGGGAUGAA
rnacentral:rRNA from 1 species